rnacentral:rRNA from 1 species
UACGGAGGGUGCAAGCGUUAUCCGGAUUCACUGGGUUUAAAGGGUGCGUAGGUGGAUUGCCAAGUCCGUGGUGAAAUCUCCGAGCUUAACUCGGAAACUGCCGUGGAUACUGGUAGUCUUGAAUAUCGUGGAGGUCAGCGGAAUAUGUCAUGUAGCGGUGAAAUGCUUAGAUAUGACAUAGAACACCAAUUGCGAAGGCAGCUGGCUACGCGAAUAUUGACACUGAGGCACGAAAGCGUGGGGAUCAAACAGGAUUAGAUACCCUGGUAGUCCACGCCCUAAACUAUGGAUACUCGACAUACGCGAUACACUGUGUGUGUCUGAGCGAAAGCAUUAAGUAUCCCACCUGGGAAGUACGACCGCAAGGUUGAA